rnacentral:rRNA from 1 species
CACGGGGGGAGCAAGCGUUGUUCGGAAUCACUGGGCGUAAAGGGCGUGUAGGCGGUCAGGUAAGUGGGAUGUGAAAGCCCUCGGCUCACCCGAGGAUCUGCAUCUCAAACUGCCUGGCUUGAGUAUGGGAGAGGAUGAGGGAAUUCCUGGUGUAGCGGUGAAAUGCGUAGAUAUCAGGAGGAACACCGGUGGCGAAGGCGCUCAUCUGGCCCAAUACUGACGCUGAGGCGCGAAAGCGUGGGGAGCGAACAGG